ensembl:lncRNA
GUGUUUGUAGUCUCUCGAUGGAGAGGGGUCAUUUAGCUGGAGGGGUCUCUCUCUCUCUCUCUGUGUGUUUGUAGUCUCUCGAUGGAGAGGGGUCAUUUAGCUGGAGGGUCUCUCUCUCUCUCUGUGUGUUUGUAGUCUCUCGAUGGAGAGGGGUCAUUUAGCUGGAGGGGGUCUCUCUCUCUCUCUGUGUGUUUGUAGUCUCUCGAUGGAGAGGGGUCAUUUAGCUGGAGGGGGUCUCUCUCUCUCUCUGUGUGUUUGUAGUCUCUCGAUGGAGAGGGGUCAUUUAGCUGGAGGGGGUCUCUCUCUCUCUGUGUGUUUGUAGUCUCUCGAUGGAGAGGGGUCAUUUAGCUGGAGGGGGUCUCUCUCUCUCUCUGUGUGUUUGUAGUCUCUCGAUGGAGAGGGGUCAUUUAGCUGGAGGGGGUCUCUCUCUCUCUCUCUGUGUUUGUAGUCUCUCGAUGGAGAGGGGUCAUUUAGCUGGA